rnacentral:rRNA from 1 species
GACGAACGCUGGCGGCGUGCCUAAUACAUGCAAGUUGAGCGAUGAAGAUUGGUGCUUGCACCAAUUUGAAGAGCAGCGAACGGGUGAGUAACGCGUGGGGAAUCUGCCUUUGAGCGGGGGACAACAUUUGGAAACGAAUGCUAAUACCGCAUAACAACUUUAAACUUAAGUUUUAAGUUUGAAAGAUGCAAUUGCAUCACUCAAAGAUGAUCCCGCGUUGUAUUAGCUAGUUGGUGAGGUAAAGGCUCACCAAGGCGAUGAUACAUAGCCGACCUGAGAGGGUGAUCGGCCACAUUGGGACUGAGACACGGCCCAAACUCCUACGGGAGGCAGCAGUAGGGAAUCUUCGGCAAUGGACGAAAGUCUGACCGAGCAACGCCGCGUGAGUGAAGAAGGUUUUCGGAUCGUAAAACUCUGUUGGUAGAGAAGAACGUUGGUGAGAGUGGAAAGCUCAUCAAGUGACGGUAACUACCCAGAAAGGGACGGCUAACUACGUG